rnacentral:rRNA from 1 species
GGCCGUCAGAGAGGGUGAGAAUCCCGUCUUGGGCAGGGUGCCCGUGCCCGUGUGAAGCUCCUUCGACGAGUCGAGUUGUUUGGGAAUGCAGCUCUAAAUGGGUGGUAAAUUUCAUCUAAAGCUAAAUACCGGCCGGAGACCGAUAGCGCACAAGUAGAGUGAUCGAAAGAUGAAAAGCACUUUGAAAAGAGAGUUAAACAGCACGUGAAAUUGUUGAAAGGGAAGCGCUUGCGACCAGACUCGGCCCCGGGGUUCAGCCAGCACUCGUGCUGGUGUACUUCCCCGGGGGCGGGCCAGCGUCGGUUUGGGCGGCCGGUCAAAGGCCCCAGGAAUGUGUCGCCCUCCGGGGCGUCUUAUAGCCUGGGGUGCAAUGCGGCCAGCCCGGACCGAGGAACGCGCUUCGGCACGGACGCUGGCGUAAUGGUCGCAAACGACCCGUCUUGAAACACGGACCAAGGAGUCUAACAUCUACGCGAGUGUUCGGGUGUCAAACCCGUACGCGCAGUGAAAGCGAACGGAGGUGGGAGCCCCGCAAGGGGCGCACCAUCGACCGAUCCUGAUGUCUUCGGAUGGAUUUGAGUAAGAGCGUAGCUGUGGGGACCCGAAAGAUGGUGAACUAUGCCUGAAUAGGGCGAAGCCAGAGGAAACUCUGGUGGAGGCUCGCAGCGGUUCUGACGUGCAAAUCGAUCGUCAAAUUUGGGUAUAGGGGCGAAAGACUAAUCGAACCAUCUGGUAGCUGGUUCCUGCCGAAGUUUCCCUCAGGAUAGCAGUAACGCGGAUCAGUUUUAUGAGGUAAAGCGAAUGAUUAGAGGCAUUGGGGUUGAAACAACCUUAACCUAUUCUCAAACUUUAAAUAUGUAAGAAGCCCUUGUUUCUUAGUUGAACGUGGGCAUUAGAAUGGAGCGUUACUAGUGGGCCAUUUUUGGUAAGCAGAACUGGCGAUGCGGGAUGAACCGAACGCGAGGUUAAGGUGCCGGAAUGCACGCUCAUCAGACACCACAAAAGGUGUUGGUUCAUCUAGACAGCCCGACGGUGGCCAUGGAAGUCGGAAUCCGCUAAGGAGUGUGUAACAACUCACGGGCCGAAUGAACUAGCCCUGAAAAUGGAUGGCGCUCAAGCGUGCUACCCAUACCUCGCCGUCGGGGUAGAAACGAUGCCCCGACGAGUAGGCAGGCGUGGGGGUCCGUGACGAAGCCU